ensembl:lncRNA
AUGUCUCAACCAGAGCUUGACACCAUCGAUACGUUUGACAUCCCCUCUCCUCCCCCUGUGACCACAGACCUACCAGGGUCACAUGCUACCUGCCCUGACCAAGCGCUGUCAUCCGUCGCCUUAAGCACCCCCCCAGAGACGAUGGAGCGCCUGCCCGCUGUCUCCGACGUGUUCGAUGUACACAUGGAGCCGCAGAAACCACCGGAUGCCUUCAUCCCUGAGCUGGAGCUUCAUAAUCAGGACUCGGCGGAGGAGAAACCGGAUUGUAGCUCCCCUCAGUCAGCCUCCACGACUCAAACAGAAAGCCGCUCCGCUGUGGACAACCAGACGGUACCCGGCCUACCGGCGAGCUCGCCAACAGCCCCGCAAGAGACCUCGGUUCACGAAGUCGACUCCGCUGCCGCAACUAACGGUCCGUUUGAAAAUGACAUUCUCCAGCAGUCUCACGCAAACGCAGGAAUCUCUCUCACCGAAUCGACCACAGUCCCAUUGUCCCAUCGCCAACCGGACGUCCCCGCUACAAGUCCAAAACGUGAACCGUCUCUGGCAAGAACGGACUCCAAAAUUGACCCGGUUGCACAGUCGACCCUUCUUCCUCGCGCCGGCGCCUCGGCUCCUGACCAGGACUCCGCAUCCAUCCAUCAGGAAGACUCAACCUCGGGCGCUGAGAGAUCUGCUCCCCUGAAGAAAACCGCGGGCGUUAGCGCUGAGAAAGGCGCUUCGCCGGUCAGACAAGAAGCAGUUUAUGGCGCGUUGUAUGAGUCUCUUUUCCCCCAGGGCUUCAGCUCGGAUGUAGCGCCAUCCCUCUCAAACCCACCGCCUCAAAUCAUCACAGAGAUAAGAUCUGUGAAGAACCAAACCGAACCGUUCAUGGUCAAAACCCUCAAUGAUUGUGGUAGAGAAACUAAUGUUCACUUUGACUCUGCUUCUCUCAGAGUGGAUGAUGCUGUUGCUGGUUAUGCGUCCGUAAAUACCACCUUCAGCGAGCGAAAGGGGAUUGAUCCCAGCGAGAGUUCCGGAUUAAGCUCUUACCAAACAUCUACUGCUUGUGAGGCGCGAAGAGAACCGGAUGUUUACAGUAGACAUCUACCUUCCUCUCUAAAUUCAGGUUCGGAAACAAUUCCUUACGCAGAGACGACUCCCUCCCUUUCGGAGAUGAAAUCGGACAGUUUACGCCUCAUUCAAGACAAUGCGAGGUCAGUCCUCGCGCUUCAAAGCUCCACCCCUCCCUCGUCCGACUGUGGAACGAUCCAAGGGGGAGACACUCGGGUUACUCGGCCUAAACGGAGAGCGAUCCUCAUCAAAGAGUCGGUCACAGAGGAGGCGAGCACCGAUCCUGUCGGUCUCGCUCCCACGCCGGAGAAAAUGAGUGCAGCAAAGCGCCUUGAGGUUAGGAUCGAAACAAUGGAGACUUUUUCUACUACUUCGGGACAGACUGAUGGGUCAGAAGGGUUCUUAAGUCCAGCAUAUUUGAGCAGCGUUGGAUCGGAAGAGGGCAGCAUGGGGGAGAUCUACUACAGUGCCGAGGAGGACAACGGAAUGGAAGAGGAUGGCUCCCCGGAUGAACGAGUGGAAAGUUGCGGUGCAGACGGGGGGGCAAGAGGCCGGCCUGUGUGA